rnacentral:tRNA from 2 species
GGGCCUAUAGCUCAGCUGGUCCAGAGCCGGCGGCUCAUAACCGCUUGGUCGUAGGUUCGAAUCCUACUAGGCCCACCA